GGGGGAGCGCCCUGCGGCCUCGGCUCCGCUCCGGUUCGCCUGGCCGCGCGCGGGCUUCUGGGAGGUGUAGUCCGGCCUUGUCCGCGCAGGCGCACCGCGGCCUGGAGGGCCUAGCGGGUGGGUCAUUGUCCUGGCACGUUUCGCAGUUUUCAGUGGCCCCCUGGACUGGUGUGAGCAGAAGCUGUGUGCUGUGAACAGGGAGGCGCAGACCAAAUGGCCGGCCAGCUCUGUUGGUCCCGCAGGACGGUCCUCUUCCCCUGAUGAUCGUGUCCCGGUGGAGAGAUGGCUGCUCAGCUGCCGACCGACGUACCGCUGUGUUUCAUUUCGUCCCAUUUCUCAUUUGCCAGACGGGCGACUCCCAGGGUGGGGUGGCUGCAGCGUUCUGUGGGUGCCCCUCUGGUGGGUGGGCUUAGGGCUGGUCAGGCCUCAGGGCUUGCUGGGUGGUGACUGCUCUAGAGAGACGAGGUCAGGGCACCCUAGGGCCUGGCAUUGCCCCCUCUGCUGGGAGUCUGGGUCUCAGGAGUCCCCCUGGGAUCAUGAGGCAGAGGGCCACCCCCCCACCCACGUGCUGCCCAGCCUCCCCAGGCUCCGCCCCGAGUGUGUCCCUGCUGGCCGUUCAUAUCCCUGACCCGCUUCGGCUGGUCACCUGAGCAGCCAG
rnacentral:lncRNA from 1 species